UACGUAGGGCGCAAGCGUUGUCCGGAAUUAUUGGGCGUAAAGAGCACGCAGGCGGUUUGGCAAGUCGGAUGUGAAAUCCCGAAGCUCAACUUCGGGCCUGCAUCCGAAACUGCCCGACUAGAGGUAGGUAGGGGAGAAUGGAAUUCCCGGUGUAGCGGUGAAAUGCGCAGAUAUCGGGAGGAACACCGGUGGCGAAGGCGGCAUCCUGGACCGAUACUGACGCUGAGGAGCGAAAGCCAGGGGAGCAAACGGG
rnacentral:rRNA from 1 species